UACGUAGGGGGCAAGCGUUGUCCGGAUUUACUGGGCGUAAAGAGCGUGUAGGCGGCCACGCAGGUCCGUUGUGAAAACUGGAGGCUCAACCUCCAGCUGUCGACGGAAACCGUGUGGCUAGAGUCCGGAAGAGGAGAGUGGAAUUCCUGGUGUAGCGGUGAAAUGCGCAGAUAUCAGGAAGAACACCAAUGGCGAAGGCAGCUCUCUGGGACGGUACUGACGCUGAGACGCGAAAGCCAGGGGAGCAAACGGG
rnacentral:rRNA from 1 species